rnacentral:rRNA from 1 species
GACGAACGCUGGCGGCGUGCCUAAUACAUGCAAGUAGAACGCUGAAGGAGGAGCUUGCUUCUCUGGAUGAGUUGCGAACGGGUGAGUAACGCGUAGGUAACCUGCCUGGUAGCGGGGGAUAACUAUUGGAAACGAUAGCUAAUACCGCAUAAGAGUAGAUGUUGCAUGACAUUUGCUUAAAAGGUGCAAUUGCAUCACUACCAGAUGGACCUGCGUUGUAUUAGCUAGUUGGUGGGGUAACGGCUCACCAAGGCGACGAUACAUAGCCGACCUGAGAGGGUGAUCGGCCACACUGGGACUGAGACACGGCCCAGACUCCUACGGGAGGCAGCAGUAGGGAAUCUUCGGCAAUAGACGGAAGUCUGACCGAGCAACGCUGCGUGAGUGAAGAAGGUUUUCGGAUCGUAAAGCUCUGUUGUAAGAGAAGAACGAGUGUGAGAGUGGAAAGUUCACACUGUGACGGUAUCUUACCAGAAAGGGACGGCUAACUACGUG